rnacentral:lncRNA from 1 species
AUCUGGCCACUUUAAUAUUGGCUGGCAGCCGCCGCAAGGCAGAUCGUGGCUAAAUGUGCUGUGGCUACACGGAGCCCCGAGUACCCCAACCCCAUCUGGCGAGCAGCAGAGACUUCCAAAGGUUACUUAUCAGUGCUUCUCCAAGAGCUUGGGGACUCCGCAGUCCCAGACUUCCAUGCGACCGCCUUGGGCGCGGUAGAUAACAGGUGGCAGUGACUUUUUGAGACCAGAUUUGCGACCCUCGUGACCUGGACAACCCCUCUCUCAGGACCCUUAGGGCAAAUCGCACAACUGCUGGAUUCACAGGUAAGGGAGGAAGACAAAAGAGCCCAGGGCUGGCAGCACAGCUCCGUCUUGCUAUGCAAGUUCAGGCGCUUGGGCGGGAGCCGCUGCAGUGCUGGGAUAGGGUAAGGCUCUGGGCCAUAAUGUG